rnacentral:antisense_RNA from 1 species
CUUGAUCGACCCCAGGUAGAGGGGUUCGCCCUCACGGCUCUGGCCGUAGGUGGCCAGCAGUGCCUGUGCCUC